UGGUGGAGUGGUUUGUCUGGUUAAUUCCGAUAACGAACGAGACCUUAACCUGCUAAAUAGUCGGGCGAAUCUAAGGAUUGGCAAGUAUGACUUCUUAGAGGGACUCCGGGCGUUUAGCUCGGGGAAGUUUGAGGCAAUAACA
rnacentral:rRNA from 1 species